GUCUACAGCCAUGCUACCCUGAACAAGCCCAAUCCUGUCUGAUCUCAGAAGCUAAGCAGGGUCGGGCCUGGUUAGUACUUGGAUGGGAGACCACCUAGGAAGACCAGGUGCCGUAAGCG
rnacentral:rRNA from 1 species